AAGUCUCACUUAGCUGAGUGACAUUUAGACUUCUGUAUAUGUAAUUACAUUAUAAACACAUGUUCUUUCUAGAUAUAGACAUUUCUGAUAUACAUAUAAUUUUACCUCUUGUUUGUGGGACAUGUAGGUAUAACUUAUUUUCACAGAUGUGCUGAGGUUCAUGAUGAAAUUCAUUUUUCUAAAGAGCAUUUUAUAGAAAUGUUUCUGUGUUCAUUUGUUACAUGGCAAUAACCAAGACAAUUUUGUAAAUAAGGGACAAGAGAAAUAAUUUAAACAUCUGGUAUUUCUAGAUGUACUGAGAGUCUCAAAAAGUAUAAUUUUGUAAAAACUUUCAUUGUAAAUGUGUUAGUAUUGAUACUGUUGUCUUUUAAAAUCAACAUGGCAAUGAAGUUGACAAACAGGCUCUUGGAGCUAUGCAAAAUUUAUCAUAUUAGUUUGGUUGUUAAGAGGAAAUGUUGACAAGAUUAUGCAUUUACCCUGUUCUCAUGUAGAAGAAGAAUUUGCCAUUGUAUCAAGUAUGUAUAUUUAAAACUUACACCAUGUAAAUUCAUUUGGUGUUUCUGGAUGUACCGAGAUUCCUGAUAUAGUUCAUUUAUAUUAUUUUUUAUUAAGACUUUUUAUUAAGGGCAGUUUUAAGUUCACAGAAAAAUUGAGGGGAAGGCACAGAGAUUUCCCAUAUGCCCCCUGCCCCAACGCUUACAUAAUCCCUCCCCCAUUAUCAACCCAGGACAUGUAGAGUCCACCCCUGUUAUCACAUUCCCCCAUCAGAGUGGUACAUUUGUUAUAAUUCAUGAGCCCAUAUUGACACAUCACAUCAUAAAUCACCCAAUGUCAGUAGUUUAUAUUAUGGUUAACUCUUGGUGUUCUACAUUGUGUGGGUUUAGGCAAGCAUAUAAUGACAUGUAUUCAUUGUCAUCAUAUUUUAAUGGCCCUAGAAAUCCUCUUUGCUCCAACUACUCAUCCCUCCCCUUGUAUUUCUUUUUUUUACUUUGUUUUCCUUUUUUUCCCCUUACUAUUCAAAUUAAUAAAUGACUUUGUCAGAGAGAUUUUAUACUACCUCCUGGAACUAUACACAGUUCUGUAUGUGUUCCCUUGGUUGCAUGACAAUAUUCAAGACAACUUUGUAAAUAGGCAGAUACGAGUUUUAAAUUUUUAUCAUCUAGACUUUCUAGAUGUAUAGAGUCUCACAAAGUAUAAUUUUGUAAAUAAUUCACUGUAAAGUUUCAUUGUUUUCUUCUUAUGUCUCAGCAGUGAAAUUGAUGGAACUGUGGAUUUCUUGAGCUGUAUACAUAUUUUGGGAUCUGCUGAGUUAUGGGAAAGCAAAAGUUAAAAGGAUAUUUUUUCACUUUUGCAUUCUCAUCUGAAAGAAAAUUUUACAUUUUAAUCAUUGUAGUGCUUCGAUUUUUAUACAUUAAAAAAGCCAAGUCAUAAUUUGUAGUUGUGUUGCUAAUAGGGCAUUACACAUUUUAAUCAGGAGAUUUUAUUCUCUUUGAAUUAUACAGUUUUGUGUUUAAUUGGACUGUAUGACAACAUUCAAGACAACCUUGUAAAUAACAGUAAAUUUAUCAUUUAAAAAUUAGUUUUUCUAGAUGGCAUGGAAUUACACGAAGUACAAAUUUGUAAAUAUCUCAUUGUAGAGGAUCAUGAGGUGGCUUCUAUAAAUGUUUUAGCAGAGUGAUAGGUAACUAGGAGUUGACCUUUUAGGGCUUUGUAACAUUUUGGUGUUUAUGUAGUGGAUUUUUGGGGAUAGGGGUACACAGAUUAUCUCCAUAUCUUCAGAUUUUUAGGUUCUCAUGUUAUAAGAUUAGAUUGUAUACUUUUAACGAACAAAUGCCCAUGGGAUUUAUUUUCAUCUUCAGGAAGAAAAAGGAAGACAUGAAAAGGGAAUUGUCAUUUUAAACCGCAGGUAUAUUCAUAGUUAUAUAACAUUGCUGAAGUAAGGGUUAUUUUGCUAUGCUAUGUAAACCUACUGUUUGCAAAUUUAUAUAUGUAUAUGCAUAUGCAUGUAUAUUAUAAAUGUAUAUACAUGUACAUAUGUAAAAUUAGUUCUAGGGGUAUAGAUAUGAUAGUGUUCUUUCUCAUUUAUUAGCUUACUGCUUUACUUGUUUUUUUUAAUGGAAAUAAUAUUUCAAUUGUAAGCUUAAACAUGUAGAAGCCCAUUUCAUGUUUAUAUCUAAACGAAUAUUUUUAUAUAAAACGUUUAAGCAGUUGUGGAUUUUUUUGUUUCCAUAUAUACAUCUGUAUGAGAACAGAAUUUCCAUGAUUAUGAGUAUUUUAUUUUUCUGAGAGCUUUUGAAAAUUUUCUGGAGAGUAGUUAAUUUGUAUGUUAUAAUCAGUAACCAAUGUCAAGUAUUCUCAGUUGCCUAUAAUGUAAAUAACGAAUUUCGUAGAAUCCUAUCCAGUAUUAAAGUGUAAUCAGUACAUCUUUUUGAACAAGUUUGACAAUGACAAUUGAACUUUGAGUGUGUAAAAUUUUUGAAAUGAUAUAAUCUGCUGACGGGAUUUUAUAUAUUCCUACUCUCAAAUCCAUAAAGAAGAAAGUAUGUUAUAGGUCAAGUAUAACAAAUAAUUUGAAUAUAUGAAAUACACAUCAUUAAAAGAACGAUUGUAAUGAUAGCUAAUUCAUAUGAAUAUCAUUCAAACACUGAAAGUAUUCUGAUAUUGAAGGGUGUUUUAAGUUGAUUUUUAAAAUUGUCAUUUUUGUACAAAUAUCAGCUAAAGUGUGUGUGCUGAGGUGUGUCCAUAUGCCUCUGGUUUUUCUAUUUGAAAUAUUAAUGGUUACUGUUCCUUGGAAAUGGGAUUAUUCAGACAUGAUAAUGGAGUUAAGUAAUGCUUACUCAUUAGUGUUACUACAAUAGUGAUUAAUUUAGCAUUCUUUCUGAAAUUUUUGUACAUGUGUAAGUUAAAUACUAAAACAUAGUUUUUAUAUUUGUGUAUUGCUACAUGACAAUCUAAAAUGCAAAUGUGAAUUAUUGAAUAGAAAGUUGUCUGGAAAAACAUGGCAAAAUUUUAACAUUACUGUAUAAAAAGAUCAGAAAAGAAGGGACUGCUGCUACUUUCUGCCUUUGAAACUUUAAAGGUAUUUCAGAAGCAACAUUUAAACAACAGAGGAAAUGUUAAAGAUACAACCAAUUUGUGCCUGUCUUCAUCGUUACCUAUUGACAUCUCGGGAGUGUUGGGCUGUUGUAUCCGACUUAGUAUUCCCAGUGACUGUUACUAAUAGUUUUUGAGUGAUCGUGAAGAGCGUGUGACUUAGACACUAGUGCGGCAAAGAGUUUUACACAGUGAAACAGAGUAUUGGACUAUCCACGGAAAGAAGGAUGAAGAUGGCAUUUGAGGUGAACAUGAUGAAAGAAAGACAUAACAUGCAGAUAACCUGAGGAUGUCUGACAUCAUCAGGAACAUUCUUCCUGUGAAGUUCCUUAAUUUAUAAAUCUCAACUGUAAACCACAGGGAGAUGAUAGUUCCAAGAAAAGACACUUUUGCCAUCUUUGUUUUCAAUCUCAGUAAUUGGUACCAUGAGACCUGUUGCAGUAUUCCUCUUUUCAAGUGUUCAUCACUCCCAUCCAUCCCUGGGCCCAGGAGAACCCCUUGGCGAUAAUGAUUGUUGUAUCCUCUCAGGUGAUGACUGAAUAGGAAAAACUGAUGCCAUUGCUUCUGCGACCAUCUUCAGUAAAACCAAAGACAGUCUUCAUAAUGUAUAGAGAUUCCUCAUUGAUGUGUUGCAAUGGACACUCCCUGUAGAUCACAAAAACAGGCUGAGAAGGCUGAAAUUUCAUAGUGACCGAAAGGGUGAUAUUGGAGAGAACUGUAACCAGGCAUGUUGACUGUUUUCAUUGUUGCCAUUGGACUAAAUCUCAGGAGCUUGAAUGAUGGAGGCAUUAUUACACAGAGAAGCUCAGGAUGGUAUAAUUUCAAGGCUUCAUUACAGUGCUCCCAUAAGUAUUAGGUGCACAUUUUUAAAAUUUUCAUUUAUCACAGGGAAAUUUAAAACUGACUCAUAAAAAAUCAUCUUUUUCAAGAUUUCAAAGGACAUGAAAAUUUGUGAAGUAUAAUAUUUUACUUUUUAAAUGCCUUUUUUCCUCUUCUAAUUCUGCCAUCUCUGUCUGUGUUAUCUACUAUUAAUGAAAUUUUGUGCACAUCCUUUUGGGUGUAUUGAUAAAUUAAUAUGCAAGUUAUUUUUUGGGGGGGUCUAUAUACUAGCUACAAAUUUUCUACACAGUAAACAUGGUUUAUAUAUAAAUUGUAAAUUUAUCCAAUUUGUUGAAAUAAUUCCAAUGAUUUGGAGCUGCUAGGACUAAGGGUAUCCAAAAUUUAUAGUUUUGAGUCCAAACUAGUUUUCCCUAUUAUACAGACAGGACCUCAUCAAUCUUGUUCCCCAGUGUUUAUGUGGGCAUAUUUCCUAAAACUGUACAAGUGUUACAUUUUUAAUCUUUGGUAAUAUGGUAUUACAAAGAAUUUGCUUUUCUUUUACUGUUCAUCUCUGUCAUCUUCAUAUAUGCUUAAUCCUUACUAGUCAUUUGUGUUACUUCAUUUUCUUCUGUUUUUUUUCCAUUCUGUUGUUAUAUCAAUGUCUUUGUUACUGGUUUCUAAGAACUCAUUUUUUAUUAAGGAUGUUAACCAUUUGUCAUGCAGUGCAAAUGAAGUACCAUAUUUUAUUGCUAUCAAUUUACUAUGGGGUUUUGUACUUUGGUU